rnacentral:misc_RNA from 1 species
AACGCACAUUGCGCCCCCCUGGUAUUCCGGGGGGCAUGCCUGUCCGAGCGUCAUUUCUGCCCUCAAGCACGGCUUGUGUGUUGGGCCCCGUCCUCCGAUCCCGGGGGACGGGCCCGAAAGGCAGCGGCGGCACCGCGUCCGGUCCUCGAGCGUAUGGGGCUUUGUCACCCGCUCUGUAGGGCCGGCCGGCGCUUGCCGAUCAACCCAUAUUUUUAGCCAGGUUGACCUCGGAUCAGGUAGGGAUACCCGCUGAAC